rnacentral:lncRNA from 1 species
AGCUCCCCACUCACCCCUGCACCAUCCUCGCUGUCACAGUGCCUGAUGCCCCAAAACUGGAAGUGUGCCUGCCAUUGCCUUUCCCUGCCUGGUUUCCAGCAGUCCCAUCACAUGGCUCCAAAAAACAGCAUCGGGGUUUUUUUCUAGAACCCAAAUUUAUAAACAAGGGGCAAUGUCCUCUGACAAGGAAAUGGACCUUGGCAAACGUGUGUCAGGAGAGGAUGACUUGGAGGUGUCCACCGUGUUUCUUACUGAAGAUGUCUAAAAGUCAAUUGGGGUCAAGGAACAAGCCUCUACUCACAUGCAUGUGGGCAAAUGAAGUCACAGAACAAAUAACCUACCCUGCAUCCAGGCACGGAGUCCAGGGACACCCCCUGCUGCUGCCUAAGAGAAAGUGGCCCAAGAAGCACUGGCCCGGUGCCUGCUGAUGCCAGGAGCCCUCUGCUACUGCCUGACACAAGCAUCCUGCGCUUCCCCCUCCCAGGCCCUCCCCGAAAGCGUGGGCCACAGGUACCACUCCCUAUGCCACUGAGCCCCACAUUUCCCAUCCCCCAAGCCACUCCCACCAGCCCCAGAGCUUUCCUACAUUUAUGAUUUGUCCAAAAAUGUGAUGCCCUUCAGCCCCCAGAAGGUCAUCCUCCAGGCUGUGAUCGUCACACAGGGGGUCCCACAUGGGGUCCUCACAGGCCUUCAACCCAGCACAAAUCGUGGCCUGGUUUGACCUUUGAAAUAUCUCAACAUCUAAAAUUCAGAGCUUUUUUGGAAUAUUUAUUUUCCAUAGAUAUAAUUCUUUCAAAUAAAUUCCUUAGAAAACAA